rnacentral:rRNA from 1 species
GGAAUAUUGGACAAUGGGCGCAAGCCUGAUCCAGCCAUGCCGCGUGCAGGAUGACGGUCCUAUGGAUUGUAAACUGCUUUUGUACAGGAAGAAACACUCCGACGUGUCGGAGCUUGACGGUACUGUAAGAAUAAGGAUCGGCUAACUCCGUGCCAGCAGCCGCGGUAAUACGGAGGAUCCAAGCGUUAUCCGGAAUCAUUGGGUUUAAAGGGUCCGUAGGCGGUUUAAUAAGUCAGUGGUGAAAGCCCAUCGCUCAACGGUGGAACGGCCAUUGAUACUGUUAGACUUGAAUUAUUAGGAAGUAACUAGAAUAUGUAGUGUAGCGGUGAAAUGCUUAGAGAUUACAUGGAAUACCAAUUGCGAAGGCAGGUUACUACUAAUUGAUUGACGCUGAUGGACGAAAGCGUGGGUAGCGAACAGGAUUAGAUACCCUUG